UGCGCAGGAAUCUACCUGGUAGUGGGGAUAACUCGGGAAACUCGAACUAAUACCGCAUACGCCUACGGGGAAGGCGGGGACCGUUCGGGCCUCGCGCUAUCAGAUGAGCCUGCGUAGGAUUAGCUUGUUGGUGAGGUAAAGGCUCACCAAGGCGACGAUCCUUAGCUGGUCUGAGAGGAUGAUCAGCCACACUGGAACUGAGACACGGUCCAGACUCCUACGGGAGGCAGCAGUGGGGAAUAUUGCACAAUGGGCGAAAGCCUGAUGCAGCAAUGCCGCGUGUGUGAAGAAGGCCUGCGGGUUGUAAAGCACUUUCAGUAGGGAGGAAACAGUAGCCGGUUAAUAUCCGGUUGCCUUGACGUUACCUACAGAAGAAGCACCGGCUAACUCUGUG
rnacentral:rRNA from 1 species